GUUAUGACAGACUUCACGGGUUGGACUUCUAUCCAAGUUUGCCAGUGGUUGAAAGAUAUUGACUUGGGGGAAUUCUGUGAAAGGAUGGCGAUGAUAAAAAUCUACCAGAGAAAUUUUGUGUCUAACCACAGCACGGAGGAGAUUAUCUCUGAGUUUCCAUGUUUCAGACUGGCCAAAAUGCUCCUUUGGGAUCUGAGAGACCGUACCAACGUUGAUGUGGACCAACAGAUUCUCUCUCAGCUCUCGGUAAUGGCAUCUAAAGUCCUUCAAGUUUCACAGAGUCCCCUGAUGGAGAAGGUCAGUCGUGUGGUUGAUGACUGUGAAGAUGGCAGACUGAAAAAAGGUAAUUAAAUCUGCACUACUUAGAUUUUCUGUGUAUCACUGACUGACACCCAUAUCUGCCUGAGAUCAUACAUUUCUGCAUGUAUCUGUCUUGUGUAAUAAUAAAGACUAAUUUCUAGUUUAUUAAAGGUAGUAAUAAUUACUGUCUUAGUAAUUAAUUGAAAAACAAAGAAAACUUAUUAGAUAAAAGCAUCCACCAUGUUAUGUUAACCUAAUUCUUGUUUUGUUUAAAGGACUACAGUUGGAAGCAGCUAUUCUGCUCUUGCCUGCACUGUUUAAGGAGGACCCGGGGUUGCUGUUUGAAGUUGAGGUUCAUUACUGAGGAGAGUGAGGACAUCUCAGUGGCACUGGGCCUCAUCCUUUGUAUAUAUUUUCUGUUUGGGAUCCAAUAUCCUAAAGGACUGAAAAAGACACUGACCUUCCUGGAGUGCGUUGUCUUAAAAAUGAAGGAUGCAGCCAGACUUCCUGUCACAAUUAAAAGAGUGUACAACUCAAUCUGUGCAUAGAGUCUCUCUCUCUCUCUCUCUCUCUCUUUUCUCUUUCUGGUGCCUAUUCCAAUUUCUAUUUUUUUUCCUUCUAUUUUUUUCUAACUCCUUUAGCCAGUGUUGUUAAUGUUAAAAAGCACGGAUUAUAUUUGCAACUAAAAGAAAUGAAUUAAACUAUUUUAAAAGUAUAAUGUAUUUUGUUUAUCAGUAAGCUUUUAGUACAGGAUUUUGAAUCUUUCAAUCCACGAUUUGGUAUAAAAGCGUCAUUUAGAAGCAUAUUGACUCAAACAUUGUAGUAUAUAGCAUGAUAAUGGCCUACUACCUAAAAAAAAGGUUCUAUAAAGCACCAUUUGACAAAUGUGCUAUAAAGCUUAAGUCCCAUUAAUGCCAAAAGAGGUUCCCCUAUAACGAGCCAAAGAAUCACUGUUGAGCACCAUUUUUGUUGAAGAAAUUGUAAACAAUCAAGGUGCUUUAUGGCACCUCUUAUGGUUCUACAUAGCACCAUUUGACAAAGGUGCUGUACAGCACCUUUAAAGAUAAGUGCUAUAUAGCACUUAAAGUGGUUCCCCUAUGAUUACGAGCCAAAGAACCACCUUUAGUGCUAUUUAGCACCUUUUUUUUUUAGAGUGUAGCAGGGAAUCGUAUUACACAGCUAUUUGUGAAUAUUGUUUUUAAUUUAAGCACAUGUGCUAUUUUGGAUGAGUAGUAUCAGAAGUGUCAGGCAUAUGUUAAUCAUUUGAAUGCUUCAUAAAUAAAGUUGCACAACUGGAGGUAAAAUGUGUUUGUUUAGCAAUGUCUGCUAGAUGUUUGUCUACUAUAAAAUGCAGUUGCAGAAAUUGGUGGAAAUAUGGUCAAUCCAUCACUCAUGUAUAUGCUGUAUAUAUUUUUUCACUAGUACUUAUAGUCAAUCAUCCCACUGCUGCUACACUUUAUUUAUAAUACCCUCUCAGAAAAAAGGGACAAAACCUUUCAUCACGGGGCGUUAUCCUUUCAAAGGGCACUAAUAUGUACCUUUAAGGUACCAAAAUGCACCCUUUAUAGGUAAAUAUGGUACAAAGGAGUGCCUUUUGAAUUAGUACUACCCUAGUGCCAGCUUUUGUGCAGCUUUUUUUUCUGAGAGUGUACCUACCUAACCAUCAAUUUCCUAGUCAUCUAAUGCCUGGUAUUUACUCUGUGUACCUGUAUUCUAUUGUCUGCAUAUUGUCGAUAUAUAUUGUUGUCUUAGUCCUUGUGUCUGUCCACGUAUACGUGUAGUUCCCUGGAGGAACUGUUUUGUUGUUAUCCAUUGCCAUGUGAUGUGCUAAAAGUGACAAUAAAUUUGAUAUUGACUUUCUGUUGAAACCUAUUUGACUUUUUCCCCAAAUAAGGCAAAAUUAUUUUUUAUUAGCAUGUAAACUCUUUUUCAUAAAAAAAUAAAAAAAUUAAUGAAAAGGUGUUGCAAUCACUAGCUUCAAAUUCAUAUUCAUAUUACUUAGUUCAUCAAAAAAAGAUACGGUGAAACCAGUGGUUGCAACACUUUUUGCUUCAACACCUGUAACAGAUUUUUUUUUUCUUUUGUGAUGUUUAUAUCACAAUUUGUCCCUAAGCUUUUUUUUUAAGUUAAUGUCAAGUACAAAGAGUGCUUUUGUUAGUAACAGUAAGUCAAGGCUUGUAACACUAUUAUAAGACAGCUUAAAUUUUGUAAUUGUAUUAAAUUUGUUGAUCAAAAAAACUUUUUUAUUCCAAAUCCCAAAAUCCCAUCUCUAAGCUCACCCAUAUUAAUUAAUGAGACAGAUUUGUUAAAAUAAUAAUAAUAAUAAUAAUAAUAAUAAGUUGGAAAAAGUAUUGCACAAAUAAAACUAUUAAAAAAAAGUAAUGGUGUGUCUGUUGAUGUUAGUCACGUUCAAAUAUUUGCUUUCGCACAUCUUGUUCUAUCUUUUUGGGAACAUUAAGUAAAUGAGGACAUUAGUGUUACA
ensembl:lncRNA